rnacentral:rRNA from 1 species
GUAGUCUCGCACAGAUGCAUAUCAAUAAGCGGAGGAAAAGAAACUAACAAGGAUUCCCCUAGUAACGGCGAGUGAAGCGGGAAGAGCUCAAAUUUGAAAUCUUAAAGGGUUUCCCUUUACGAAUUGUAGUUUAAAGAAGUGUUUUCUGUUGAGGUUUUGGUAAAAGUUCUUUGGAAUAGGACAUCAUAGAGGGUGAGAAUCCCGUAUUUGACCUUUACUUUCAACUUUGUGAUACACUUUCAAAGAGUCGGAUUGUUUGGGAAUGCAGUCCAAAAUGGGUGGUAAAUUUCAUCUAAAGCUAAAUAUUGGCGAGAGACCGAUAGCGAACAAGUACCGUGAGGGAAAGAUGAAAAGAACUUUGAAAAGAGAGUUAAACAGUACGUGAAAUUGUCAAAAGGGAAGCGUUUGACACCAGUGUUGUUUUUCUGAAAAUCAAUUAAAGAACUGUUUAUGCUAAGCUGUUUAGACUUUAUCAGCUAAUCUGUUCAGUUUUGAGCUUUUCUUUAAUGCACUUUUCAGUUAACAAGUCAACAUCAAUUUCUUUUGCUGUAAAAAAGCUUGAGGAAGGUGGCUUGAGAUUCGUCUUAAGUGUUUAUAGCCUCUUGCCUAUGCAGUCGGAGAGAUUGAGGUCUGCAGCGUAGAUCCUUCGGGGCUAAAUGCAUUUGUGCUAAGUUAUAACAUUUUAUAGACAACUUGUUGACUAUGAUUUGUCUUGUAGCUUACUCGCUUAUGUUAUUUUACCUACGCUUAGGAUGUUGAUCUGUAGUGCGUGCGC